rnacentral:rRNA from 1 species
CCUACGGGAGGCAGCAGUGAGGAAUAUUGGUCAAUGGGCGUAAGCCUGAACCAGCCAAGUCGCGUGAGGGAUGAAGGUUCUAUGGAUCGUAAACCUCUUUUAUAAGGGAAUAAAGUGUGGGACGUGUCCUGUUUUGUAUGUACCUUAUGAAUAAGGAUCGGCUAACUCCGUGCCAGCAGCCGCGGUAAUACGGAGGAUCCGAGCGUUAUCCGGAUUUAUUGGGUGUAAAGGGUGCGUAGGCGGCCUUUUAAGUCAGCGGUGAAAGUCUGUGGCUCAACCAUAGAAUUGCCGUUGAAACUGGGAGGCUUGAGUAUGUUUGAGGCAGGCGGAAUGCUUGGUGUAGCGGUGAAAUGCGUAGAUAUCACGCAGAACCCCGAUUGCGAAGGCAGCCUGCCAAGCCAUGACUGACGCUGAUGCACGAAAGCGUGGGGAUCAAACAGGAUUAGAUACCCCGGUAGUC